UACGUAGGGUGCGAGCGUUGUCCGGAAUUAUUGGGCGUAAAGGGCUCGUAGGCGGUUUGUCGCGUCGGGAGUGAAAACCCAGGGCUUAACCCUGGGCUGGCUUCCGAUACGGGCAGACUAGAGGUAUGCAGGGGAGAACGGAAUUCCUGGAGUAGCGGUGAAAUGCGCAGAUAUCAGGAGGAACACCGGUGGCGAAGGCGGUUCUCUGGGCAUUACCUGACGCUGAGGAGCGAAAGUGUGGGGAGCGAACAGG
rnacentral:rRNA from 1 species